rnacentral:rRNA from 1 species
AACGAACGCUGGCGGCAGGCUUAACACAUGCAAGUCGAACGGGCGCAGCAAUGCGUCAGUGGCAGACGGGUGAGUAACACGUGGGAACCUUCCUUAAGGUACGGGACAACUCAGGGAAACUUGAGCUAAUACCGUAUACGUCCGUGAGGAGAAAGAUUUAUCGCCUUUAGACGGGCCCGCGUCGGAUUAGCUAGUUGGUGGGGUAACGGCCUACCAAGGCGACGAUCCGUAGCUGAUCUGAGAGGAUGAUCAGCCACACUGGGACUGAGACACGGCCCAGACUCCUACGGGAGGCAGCAGUGGGGAAUCUUGCGCAAUGGGCGAAAGCCUGACGCAGCGACGCCGCGUGAGGGAUGACGGCCU